AUUGAACGCUGGCGGCAUGCCUUACACAUGCAAGUCGAACGGCAGCACGGGAGCAAUCCUGGUGGCGAGUGGCGAACGGGUGAGUAAAGUAUCGGAACGUGCCCAGUCGUGGGGGAUAACGUAGCGAAAGUUACGCUAAUACCGCAUACGAUCUAUGGAUGAAAGCGGGGGAUCGCAAGACCUCGCGCGAUUGGAGCGGCCGAUAUCAGACUAGGUAGUUGGUGGGGUAAAGGCUCACCAAGCCGACGAUCUGUAGCUGGUCUGAGAGGACGACCAGCCACACUGGGACUGAGACACGGCCCAGACUCCUACGGGAGGCAGCAGUGGGGAAUUUUGGACAAUGGGCGAAAGCCUGAUUCAGCCAUGCCGCGUGCAGGAUGAAGGCCUUCGGGUUGUAAACUGCUUUUGUACGGAACGAAAAGGUUUGGCCUAAUAAGCUGAGCUCAUGACGGUACCGUAAGAAUAAGCACCGGCUAACUACGUGCCAGCAGCCGCAGUAA
rnacentral:rRNA from 1 species